GUCUUAUGGUGUUUUGGAAAGUUAGAGAGUAACAUAUAAGGCUUGCAUUUCAUUUUUUUGACAUUGAAAUUUGCCAGAUUGGUUAUGUUGCCUUUGAGAGCGUAUGGUAGCCCAGGAAUGAGAAUUACCCCCAUGAUGGCAUACCAUUUGCAAAAGAAGACAACCCAAGGUAUUGCAAGUGUGGUAUGUCCUGUCUUUCUUAGUAGCCACUUAGUCACAUGUGACAGCAGUGAAUUACGGUUGAACAGACAUAUAGCGCAAAUUCCAGUUUUUGUUUACGUUUUGAUCAGAACGUGCACUAUUGACUCCGUUCUGAAGGGGUUAAAAUGAAAUGCAAAAAUCCACACAGCUGUAUCAACC